rnacentral:rRNA from 1 species
UGGGGAAUUUUGGACAAUGGGCGAAAGCCUGAUCCAGCAAUGCCGCGUGUGUGAAGAAGGCCUUCGGGUUGUAAAGCACUUUUGUCCGGAAAGAAAUCCUUGGCUCUAAUACAGUCGGGGGAUGACGGUACCGGAAGAAUAAGCACCGGCUAACUACGUGCCAGCAGCCGCGGUAAUACGUAGGGUGCAAGCGUUAAUCGGAAUUACUGGGCGUAAAGCGUGCGCAGGCGGUUUGCUAAGACCGAUGUGAAAUCCCCGGGCUCAACCUGGGAACUGCAUUGGUGACUGGCAGGCUAGAGUAUGGCAGAGGGGGGUAGAAUUCCACGUGUAGCAGUGAAAUGCGUAGAGAUGUGGAGGAAUACCGAUGGCGAAGGCAGCCCCCUGGGCCAAUACUGACGCUCAUGCACGAAAGCGUGGGGAGCAAACAGGAUUAGAUACCCUGGUAGUCCACGCCCUAAACGAUGUCAACUAGUUGUUGGGGAUUCAUUUCCUUAGUAACGUAGCUAACGCGUUAAAUCGACCGCCUGGGGAGUACGGCCGCAAGGUUAAAACUC